UCGAUAAUGACGGGCAACGUAAAAAGUCAACGCACACUCCGUUGCCCCCACAGCACGGAAAUGGCUUCGUCGGAGACCCCGCCGCCGCCGUCGCCGGGCACCGGCGGCGCGGUGCCGCUCGCGCCGGCGCUCCUCGGCCUCCUCCGCUUCGUCCUGUCCUCCCACCUCGCCGCGCCUGACCCGGCCCUCCCGCUCUCCCCUUCCUACUGCUCCCGCCUCCUCCUCGACGACGACGACGACGACCUGCUCGAGAAGCUGGCGGCCGGUCUUGCCCGGUGCGUCGAGGAGGGGCGGCUCCCGGUGGCCGCGGCGGCGGCGGAGGCGGGGAUCCCGGCGGGCGAGGCGUGGUCGGAGGAGAGGGAGAGGGAGUGGGAGGCGGUGGUGCUGGAGAAGGGGAACGAGUUGAAGAGGAUGUAUGAUGCUGUGGAGUUUGAGUUGCAUGUUCAAGAACCAUACUUCACUCAACUAAGAGCUGGAACCAAAAAAGUUGAAGGGAGGUUGGCAGCUGGUAAUUACAACCGGAUUGCAGAAGGUUCUUUGCUUCUUUUCAAUAAGUGUCUCUUGCUUAAUGUUCAGGCGAUUAGAAAAUAUGCCUCAUUUUCAGAGAUGCUGCAGGCAGAGAUGAUCUCAGAGGUUCUUCCUGGUAUUUCAUCAAUUGAACAAGGAGUGGGAGUAUAUAGGAAAUUCUAUACGGAAGAAAAGGAAAGCUUUUAUGGAGUCUUGGCAAUCUCUGUUUCAAAGCCAACUGCUCAACCUUACAUAAUCAUGACAGAGCUUCUUGCUGGCUUGGGUUCUGAUGGAUUGGGUAGACUCCUUGGUAUGGUGAAAACUGCAGGUACAGUUCAAGAUGGACUACCUCCUCCAAGAUCUGUACUGAUAUCUUCUUGCAUGAAGCUACAUCAACCAAAUGUAAAUGGUUGUUCUCUAACUGAUGCUGCAAGGGCAAUGGCCAAACAUGUUCACAGGAGUAGCGAUGGAUGGUGGGGCAGCUUCCACGGAAGUGAUGUAAAGAAAAACCAACUUGCAUCCGAAAUCAUUGACCACUUGUUACGUGAAUGCUGUUGGAUGAAUAUUCAUCUUACUCAACCCUAUGGUCCUGUUUAUGAAAUCCGUGUGCAUGAAGGUUAUGGUGCCAGAUGGUCUCAAGAUGGCUCGAAGGUACACGUGUAUUUUGCGUGAUUCUGCUGGACUGUUAACCUUUUGAAGUAACAAAUGAUGCAUCUUUAAUCAUCCUUUUUUUUUGUUGUUGUCAAUCGCCUGGACACUGGUAUAUAUUUUGAUUCGUAGUUUGACCCUCUGUUAUACGUCAUGCUAAAAAUGAAAGGUGUCAGAAGGUUAGUUUGCUCAACGGCAAUGUAAGGAAAUUACCAUAUUAUCAAAUUUGACAUGAAGACAGUGUAAAAGUUUGUAUAGUUCAAAACUUACCAUAUCACCUGUUCAUUUCCAAAAUUGCAUAGGUAUAAAAUGUAGAAUUUUCGGUAGUUUAGAAUUAACCAUGUCACAUGUCAUUUCAACAACCCUCAGUAUUAUUGUGUUCCUUAUUAUGCAAAUGUAGAAAAGCUUUUGCUAGUUAUCCUCUUGCAGUAUCCUCCAUAGAUGGUAUUCCUCCAGCUCCCUUGGAUUUCUGAAUUGCUGACGAAUUUGCUUUACUUAUAAAAUCAUUAAAAAAAAGUACUACUCUAUAUCACCAUAAAGAGUUUGUAAUUACAAAAGUAAUGUCCUCAUCCCACUCUACUUGUGCUACUCUACUUGCUUGUUAGCUUCACAUCGGUUAUUUUCAAUUUGUGCGCAAACAAAUGCUUCAGUUGACUGCUUUUUUCCCAUAACUUAUUUUGAUAUGUUCAUGCAUGCAUGCAUGCUGGAAGUUUACAUUUGGUUGCUGCAGUGGGCAAAACCUAGAGCAUGCUGCAGUACCCAUGUACACUACAUUACACAUCUUGUAGUACCCAAAGCUUUACCUUUGUUCAUGAUUAAGUUUAUUGGAUUCUUGGAGCCGUAUAGUCCAGAGGGCUUCUCGAGAGGGUGGAAACACUAGAACAAGAAGACCUGCAUGUUGUAGAGUGGUUCUUUUGCAACACUUGUAUAUGCAUUGUCUAUGCCAAGUUAAAAAUUUUCUUACAGCAGCUGCUAUGUCAAGCAUUUUUGUACUUGUAUUUUUUUUUAAAAAAAAAACUUUGGUGUAUUAUUUUUCCUGGAAUAACUUAGAACUGCAUCCUGAUGCUGGAAGUCUGUUAAUACCAGAGCAGUUCAUGGACAUGAAGUUAUUACCAUUGAUUUUGCUUGA